UACGUAGGCAGCAAGCGUUGUUCGGAAUUACUGGGCGUAAAGAGUGUGUAGGCGGUGCUCUAAGUUUGGUGUGAAAUCUCCCGGCUCAACUGGGAGGGUGCGCCGAAUACUGAAUGACUAGAGUGCGGGAGAGGAAAGUGGAAUUCCUGGUGUAGCGGUGAAAUGCGUAGAUAUCAGGAGGAACACCUGCGGUGUAGACGGCUUACUGGACGGUAACUGACGCUGAGGCACGAAAGCGUGGGUAGCAAACAGG
rnacentral:rRNA from 1 species